UAAUUUCACGAUUAUGAGAUUUAUUUAUUCAAUUUUUUUUAACAAAUAUGAUGAUAAAACGAUACAAUUAAUUCCUAGAUCUUGCAUGAUGUGUGGAAUUUUAUUCGAUACUUAUCAAGAAUUUUAUUUGUUUUUCGGGUCAACAAUUUUUGACAAAUUGAAUAUUCUUGAAAUUGAUUUUUUAAAAUUUAUUUAUGAAAUUUUAUUUGAAGUCAUUGGAAAUGGAAAGUGGUUAUUUAUGAUGUUGUACAUUUUCGGAUAUUAUAUAAAAUUUUUUGAAAAUUCUGGACUUAAAAUAAAUUUUUGGGUUUUGGCUCUGGGACCGGUCCCAGCCUUGGAGAGACCAGUCCCUCCGUCCGAACCGAUAUAAGGGCUUCGGCAGUUCUGUUUUUUUGUUCUUUACCAAAUCAUCCCAAACUUCUCUCCUGAGCUUCCAACUUCUCUA
rnacentral:lncRNA from 1 species